UACGUAGGGUGCGAGCGUUGUCCGGAAUUAUUGGGCGUAAAGAGCUCGUAGGCGGUCUGUCGCGUCGGUCGUGAAAACUUGGGGCUUAACCCUGAGCUUGCGGUCGAUACGGGCAUGACUGGAGUUCGGUAGGGGAGACUGGAAUUCCUGGUGUAGCGGUGAAAUGCGCAGAUAUCGGGAAGAACACCCGUGGCGAAGGCGGCACUCUGGGACGGUACUGACGCUGAGACGCGAAAGCGUGGGGAGCGAACAGG
rnacentral:rRNA from 1 species